UGAGGAGGGAGCGUGCCAUUGAUGAAAGAUGAGAACAUGGUCAAUGCGCGGCCUGGUUGAUAGCUUGGAACGAAAUGUCCUGCUCCUCUUACUGUCACAAAUGUCAAGUUCUGGUAUUCUACUGCAUAACCACCAACCUAGAAAGGAAAAGGAUUAUAUGAAAUAAUUAAUUUAUGUACAUACAUGAUAUUCUGAAAAUAGACAUUGUACAUAGAGUUGAAGAAUAAUGACAACUUUGUUACCUCGCCUUGGAAGAACCAAGGGUACCAUGGUGUUUUGACUGGUGUUUUUAUUUUGUCUAUGGCAUAUGUACUUGUCGUCACAGAUAACAUAUGAUCUAUGUCUCCACUGAAAUUGUUAAAAACAAAGUCUUAAGAAAAUGUUAUUGUUUUGAAAUCACUAAAAUUCUGAAUUGUUUCUGAUGACUGCUUCCUUGCUUGAUUUACUUACCUAUAAAUCCAAACCCUAAUGCCACUUUGCAUGAGCUCUUGAAAGACUGUUAGAACAGAGUGCGGGGAGUCCUGCCAAGAGCCGAAUAUGAAACCACUGCACAAGUGAGAAAUGAAGAAAUUGAAAUUAAUCCCCAAAAGAUAAUAAUAAGCCUCAAGAAUGAAAAUGUUUUAGAGAACUCAAUGUAUUACUUGCAGGAAUCCCAGGAAUAGGGUGUAUCUUUGACAUUAAGGGCCUUUUGUACUUCAGCACUAUUUAGGUAAUUGUCUACGUAAUCAGCUGAGCAUGGAUCAAAUCCAUCUAUCUGUUAUACACAAAAGAAAAAGUUGCCAUCACAAAAUUUAAUAGAAGUAUGUAAAAUCUACAGAGAGGUGACUGGUGAGCGUAUUGGGGCGUAGAAUGUUGUUGUGCAUGGUCUUUUUUUUUUCCUCACCGUGAUCGUCACCUUAAUUUGGGCACUGCAAAUAUUUCUUUUUUCCUCAAUAAUGAAUGAGCAGUUAGCCAGUGGAACUUACAGGAAGGGAAGUAUAGACAGAGGAGUUGCACAGUUGGGAAUAUGUGUUGUAAGCAUAUAUAUUGCUUUGAGAUGAAUCUGCUUGCUUAAUGUACUCAUUACAUGCUUUUGAGGUUGUCUCUGCCGAGAAGUUGCAAUUCAAGACAAUUCCUUCAUGGACUUCAUCUGAUAUUAGAGCAUGGGUCCAAUAAAAGUCGUAUGUACCACUGUUCAUUGUUUCGUCAUCGAUGAUGCCAUUUCCAGUCUGAAAUCCAUGCCAUAUGCAUGCAAUUAAGACGCAGACACGAAAUAACUAGUGACUUAAUCAUGAGAAAAGUAAUUUAGUGACCAUUUGAAGCUUAGCUUACUGCUAUUCCUUGCAAGUUAAUGACAAGGUUUGGUUCUGUUUCCUUGUAGGAUAAGAUCAGCUGAGCAAGUUGAGGCACAUAGUGGCCAGCAUAACUCUCUCCAGUAAUAUAGAAAUCUCGGUGUUUAUAUUCUGGGAAUCUUUCCAUCCAAUUGAUGAGAAAGGUGAAACUGUCUUGUCUGGUCUUUUCGUCUCCAGUAGAAUAAUCUGUUGAUGUGUUAGAAUAAGAGAAUCCAACACCAGCAGGUGAUUCUAAAUAGAGGAUGUUUGCCACUGCAUUAAAUUUGCAAAAUUGUUGUCAUUGUUAUUUACAGGUUUGUGAUUUCUCUCAAUUGUGAUGACAGAUUUUGCAGAAGAGAGAGGUAUGAGUACCAUUGUUCCAGGCAAAAGGGUUGAGCAAUAAGGUUUUUCCAUCUUUAUUGACGCGGAAUGGUCCAAGUUCCAUCAUGGCUCCAGCCCCGAAUGAAGAGCAACCAGGUC
rnacentral:lncRNA from 1 species